UAAUAUGAUUUUAAUCGAUUAUUGUGGUUUAGUUUGAGUGCCUCAGUAUUUUAUAGAAAGGAAUUUAAAAUGUGUGAACAAAAUUCUGCAGUCUACGCGAACAUUAAGUUGAAAGUUAUGUUAAUAGGAGUUAUAACCUUUAUAAUAUGUCUUAUAGGUUUUAGUUUGGCACUGUACGUUAUAAUAUUAGAAGAAUAUAACCAGACGAAGUUUCGAUCAACUAAUGAGUUGCAACAUGUAUUGGAUAUGGAAAUCGAUAGUAACGUAAUUAACUUGGUUGCUGGAAUUGCGGGUGUUAUAUUCUUAUUGGCAAUGAUCUUCUCCGUUCUUCUGCUUAUUGGAAUACAUAAGAACAAACCCGGUUUUGUCCUCGCUUAUUUUGGAUAUAGUACGAUGCUCACAAUGCUUCUAAUAUUAAGCGCAAUCUUGGAACUCAUUCAAAGUUAUUGGGCCCUAGCCAUUCCUACUUUAGUUUUAUCAACUUUUUAUAUACCCUGCCUGAUGAUUGUACACACUGUAUAUGAAAUGAUGCAGAAAGGAUUAUUAUUAGGCUCUGACAGACACAACCUUAUUGAAAAUGAAUCCCUAAAUUGACUGUAAACAAAAUUUGAUUGCUUUUAAACAUUGUUUGAUUCCAUACAUUAGAUUAAGAAGUAUAAACUAUGCUGAAGCUAUUUAUAUAAUUUGUUUUAAUAUUAUACAUAUGUAGAAUAUGCUUUAUUUUAUAGUGUAGUAGUUAUUUUAAGAGAGGGUUAGGUAAAAAUAUGUAUUUUACUUAAUUUGUA